rnacentral:rRNA from 1 species
GACGAAGGGGGCUAGCGUUGUUCGGAAUUACUGGGCGUAAAGCGUGCGUAGGCGGUUUGUUAAGUCUGUCGUGAAAGCCCCGGGCUCAACCUGGGAAUGGCGAUGGAAACUGGCGAGCUAGAGUACGGUAGAGGAGAGUGGAAUUCCCGGUGUAGCAGUGAAAUGCGUAGAGAUCGGGAGGAACAUCAGUUGCGAAGGCGGCUCUCUGGACCAGUACUGACGCUGAGGCACGAAAGCGUGGGGAGCAAACAGG